rnacentral:rRNA from 19 species
GAUCAAGCUACUAAGUGCAAUGCGGUGAAUGCCUUGGUGCCAGGAGGCGAUGAAGGACGUAGUAAGUUGCGAUAAGCCACGGGGAGCCGCAAGCAGGCUGUGAUCCGUGGAUUUCCGAAUGGGACAACCCAGCUGCCUUUACCGGCAGUUAUUGCAGGAUGAAUUCAUAGUCCUGCAAGGCGAAACGGGGUGAAGUGAAACAUCUCAGUAACCCCAGGAAAAGAAAACGAAGUGAUUCCGUCAGUAGUGGCGAGCGAAAGCGGAACAGGCUAAACCGGGAGGACUUGUCUUCCCGGGGUUGAGGGACCUUAAUGUGGCAGGUGGCGAGCGAGCUUAACGCUUUGGAAAGAGCGACCAAAGACCGUGACAGUCGGGUGAGCGAAGUUCAAAACCGCCUAGAGGCAUCCCAAGUAAUGCGGUGCACGUGAAACUCUGCAUGAAUCUGUCCAGACCACUGGAUAAGCCUAAAUACUACCUGGCAACCGAUAGUGAACUAGUACCGCGAGGGAAAGGUGAAAAGAACCCCUGUUAGGGGAGUUAAAAGAUCCUGCAACCGAUUGCAUACAAUGUGUUGGAGCUUCGCAAGAAGUGACAGCUUGCCUUUUGCAUAAUGAGUCUGCGAGUUAUUAUCAGUGGCCAGCCUAAGUUCUUAUGGAACGGAGGCGAAGCGAAAGCGAGUACGAAAUGUGCGCCCAGUCGCUGGUAAUAGACCCGAAGCGGAGGUGAUCUACUUUUGAGCAGGUUGAAGCUGCAGUAACAUGCAGUGAAGGACCGAACUCGUGGAUGUUGAAAAAUCCUGAGAUGACUUGAGAGUAGGAGCGAAAGACUAAUCAAACCCCGUGAUAGCUGGUUCUCUCCGAAAUAGCUUGAGGGCUAGCGUUGGAUAAGUACUCCAUGGAGGUAGAGCACUGGAUGGCUUAGGAACCCCACCAGGUUACCAAAACCAAUCAAACUCCGAAUACCAUGGAUCCCAGUAUUCCAGCAGUCAGGCCGCGAGGGAUAAGCUUCGUGGCCGAGAGGGCAACAGCCCAGAUCGCCAGCUAAGGUGCCUAAAUAUAGUUAAGUGGAAAGGAUGUGACGUUGCAUAGACAGUGAGGAUGUUGGCUUAGAGGCAGCCAUCAUUUAAACAGUGCGUAAUAGCUGACUCAUCGAGCGAUGUCGCGCCGAAAAUGAUUGGCGAUUAAACUAUAUACCGAAGCUGCGGAUUCCAGAGAGUUUCGACUUUCUGGAGUGGUAGGAGAGCGUAAUGCAUGCCGUGAAGCCUUACUGUAAAGGACGGUGGAGCGUGCGUUAGUGAGAAUGCAGACAUGAGUAGCGAUAAACCAGAUGAGAAUUCUGGUCGCCGUAAACCCAAGGUUUCCUGGGCCAGGUUCGUCCUCCCAGGGUUAGUCGGGAGCUAACACGAGGCCGUAAGGCGUAGUGGAUGCACAGCAGGUUAAAUAUUCCUGCACCGGCUGGGAUUAAGAUUGGAGUUGACGCAUCGAGAAAAGUGACUAAGUCAUCGAAAGACUGAGCCUAGGCUUCGGCCGAAGCGCAUCACCGGACAAGGUGCCGAGAAAAGACUCCCUUCGUUUCCCCAGUCGCCCGUACCGUAAACCGACACAGGUGGGUGAGUCGAAUAGACUAAGGCGCGCGAGAGAAACCUCUCUAAGGAACUCGGCAAAAUAGCCCCGUAACUUCGGGAGAAGGGGUGACCACUUCGGUGGUUCUCAGUAAAUUGGGUUUAGCGACUGUUUAACAAAAACACAGCACUCUGCCAAGUCGUGAAGACGACGUAUAGGGUGUGACACGUGACCAAUGCGGAAAGAUCAAGGUGACUUGUUAGCUCGCAAGAGCGAAGCUCGGAGCCAAAGUCCCCGUGAAUGUCGGCCGUAACUAUAACGGUCCUAAGGUAGCGAAAUUCCUUGUCGGGUAAGUUCCGACCUGCACGAAUCGUGUAACGACUGAACCGCUGUCUCGGAGAGGAUCUCGGCGAAAUUGUAACGGCGGUGAAGAUGCCGCCUGCCCGCAGUAGGACGGAAAGACCCUAUGCACCUUUACUGUAAGCUGAUAUUGUGUUCUGAUUAAUGAUGCUUAGCGUAGGUGGGAGACUUUGAAGGCGUGGCUUCGGUUGCGCCAGAGUCGCAAUGUGAAACACCACUCUUCGUUAAUUAGGAUUCUAACCCCAACCUGUUAGCCAGGUGGGGGACAGUGUCUGCGGGUCAGUUUGACUGGGGCGGUUUCCUCCCAAAGAGUAACGGAGGAGCGCUAAGGUACUCUCAGCAUGGUUGGCAACUAUGCGUCGAGCGUAUGGGUAGAAGAGUGCUUAACUGCGAGACCUACAAGUCGAGCAGAUACGAAAGUAGGCCCAAAUGAUCCGAUGGUUUAAUGUGGAAUUGCCAUCGCUCAACGGACAAAAGGUACGCUAGGGAUAACAGGCUGAUCGGAUCCAAGAGUUCAUAUCGACGAUCCGGUUUGGCACCUCGAUGUCGGCUCAUCGCAUCCUGGGGCUGGAGAAGGUCCCAAGGGUCCGGCUGUUCGCCGGUUAAAGCGGUACGCGAGCUGGGUUCAGAACGUCGUGAGACAGUUCGGUCCUUAUCCACUGUGGGCGCAGGAAACUUGAGGGGUUCAAACCUUAGUACGAGAGGACCGGGUUUGACGCACUUCUGGUGUGGCAAUUGUUUCGUCAGAAGCAUCGUUGCGUAGCCAUGUGCGGAAGAGAUAAGCGCUGAAAGCAUCUAAGUGCCAAGCUCAUCCCAAGAUAUUGUUUCCCGGAGCUCUAAGCUCCCUAAAGACCCCAUGUAGACCACGUGGUUGAUAGGUUAGGCGUGCAAGCGCUGCAAGGCGUUUAGCGGACUAAUACUAAUCGGUCGUGCGGCUUGAUUGC